AUUGAACGCUGGCGGCAUGCCUUACACAUGCAAGUCGAACGGUAACAGGUCUUCGGAUGCUGACGAGUGGCGAACGGGUGAGUAAUACAUCGGAACGUGCCCGAUCGUGGGGGAUAACGAAGCGAAAGCUUUGCUAAUACCGCAUAGGAUCUAAGGAUGAAAGCAGGGGACCGCAAGGCCUUGCGCGAGCGGAGCGGCCGAUGGCAGAUUAGGUAGUUGGUGGGAUAAAAGCUUACCAAGCCGACGAUCUGUAGCUGGUCUGAGAGGACGACCAGCCACACUGGGACUGAGACACGGCCCAGACUCCUACGGGAGGCAGCAGUGGGGAAUUUUGGACAAUGGGCGAAAGCCUGAUCCAGCCAUGCCGCGUGCAGGAUGAAGGCCUUCGGGUUGUAAACUGCUUUUGUACGGAACGAAAAGACUCUUUCUAAUAAAGAGGGUCCAUGACGGUACCGUAAGAAUAAGCACCGGCUAACUACGUGCCAGCCGCCGCCGUAA
rnacentral:rRNA from 1 species